rnacentral:rRNA from 1 species
UACGUAGGGGGCGAGCGUUGUCCGGAGUUAUUGGGCGUAAAGCGCACGUAGGCGGCUUUGUAAGUUAGAGGUGAAAGCCCAGGGCUUAACCCCUGGAAUUGCCUUUAAGACUGCAUCGCUAGAAUCGUGGAGAGGUGAGUGGAAUUCCGAGUGUAGAGGUGAAAUUCGUAGAUAUUCGGAAGAACACCAGUGGCGAAGGCGACUCACUGGACACGUAUUGACGCUGAGGUGGCGAAAGCGUGGGGAGCAAACAGG